UGGAAGGGAAGAGAAAGUAGCCCAGACCGUGGCUGUCCAAUGCCCUGUGUGAACUCUUGAAUACAAACUGGACUUGCUUCUCCCUACUUGGGUGGCUACACUGACAGAGAGACAUUAUGGCGGACAUUAGUCUGCCGACCCAUUAAGCCCUUGUGUUCUUAUCCUCCAGAGCUGUGGAGUGUGACAAUGGUGUUUGUGUCCACUGUUAUCAAACGCCAUUAUCACACUAAAUAGCUAUGGUGAGAAGCUUCCCCUCACCCAGGGACCCCAUGUCGUGGGAAGAUGAUACACCAAAUGGAGCCAUGCAGUUCACCCUAAUUGCUCUUAUCUGGACGGUUACAACACAUGGCUCCUUCUCUAGCCCCUGUCUAUAUGUUCUAAAACUCUGAUUGCAGGUUACCACCAGACAGGAAUAUACAGAGAUAUGUAAAGGGUUUUGCAGAGGAAACCAUUUAAUUUUGCGAACAUGUUAUCUCUGUUUUUUUCUUUUGCAGGAAAGUGAUCACAUAAUAACAGAACAUUAAUGACACAUUUACCACAGGGCAUGUGAGGUGAAUGUGUGUGACAGGUGUGUACCGAUAGGCACCUGUGGAUUUUAAUAAAAAUGUGUUCCUCCGUU